rnacentral:rRNA from 1 species
UACCAGCUCUCCGAGUUGUAGGGAUGAUUAUUGGGCUUAAAGCGUCCGUAGCUGGCUUAGCAAGUCUCCUGUUAAAUUCAGCGACCUAAUGGUUGAGCCGCGGGAGAUACUACUAGGCUAGGAGGCGGGAGAGGUCGACGGUACUUUCGGGGUAGGGGUGAAAUCCUAUAAUCCCGGGAGGACCACCAGUGGCGAAGGCUGUCGACUAGAACGCGCUCGACGGUGAGGGACGAAAGCUGGGGGAGCGAACCGGAUUAGAUACCCGGGUAGUCCCAGCUGUAAACUAUGCGGGCUAGGUGUUGGGGUGGCUACGGGCCACUUCAGUGCCGCAGGAAAGCCAUUAAGCCCGCCGCCUGGGGAGUACGGCCGCAAGGCUGAAACUUAAAGGAAUUGGCGGGGGAGCACCACAAGGCGUGAAGCUUGCGGUUC